rnacentral:lncRNA from 1 species
AAUUUCUGUUUAAUCUUAAUAGCCUUGGUUAUUCAUUACUGAGCGCAAAGGGAGUAGGAAGAAUUGGAUUGUAUUACUUGAGGCUAACCACAGACAUCUGAAGCCAAACAUUUAUGACUCCCAAUCAGUAAUCUCCAUUCUACCCCAUUUGCUUCUUCUCUUCUCCAUAAAGUUUAUGAUAAUGGAACUCUUCUGAGGCAUUCUGGGUACUGAGAGGUGAAAGGGAACCUGAUGAGAACAUGGAAGAGGCCCCAGCAGGCAAGAACCCAGGUUAAGACCCCUUCCCCCUCAUGAUUCUCCCCAGGCCACGGAUGUUUCUUUAUAGAACCACAGACUCUGUUCUGGAAAUCUCCUCAUCAUUCAUCUCACUGGUACCUGAGCUUAAAUUCCCAAGUUCUCAACAUUUCCAGUCCCCUUGGGAACUAGCAAGAAGGAGAUGUCUCAGAAAAACAAAAACCUUUACUCAAGCUGCAGAAAGGCCUAUAACCUGUCCUCAUGAAUGUGCAGAAGCCUCUGGAAAGCUCUGCCCAAGACUGUGUGGAAGUGAUCUUAACCUGGGCCAAGCCAAGCCUUCUUCCUGACAGCCAAGUAUGUAAUUUUAACAUUCUAUCAACCACAUUUAAAAUAUCAAAAAAAUAAAAAAUCAAAAGAAACUAGUGACA